rnacentral:rRNA from 1 species
UACGUAGGCAGCGAGCGUUGUUCGGAAUUACUGGGCGUAAAGAGUGUGUAGGUGGUGCUCUAAGUUCGGUGUGAAAUCUCCCGGCUUAGCUGGGAGGGUGCGGCGGAAACUGGAGUGCUAGAGGGUGGGAGAGGAAAGCGGAAUUCCUGGUGUAGCGGUGAAAUGCGUAGAUAUCAGGAGGAACACCUGCGGUGUAGACAGCUUUCUGGACCACUUCUGACGCUGAGACACGAAAGCGUGGGUAGCAAACAGG